rnacentral:rRNA from 1 species
ACGGGUGAGUAACACAUCGGAACGUGCCUAGUAGUGGGGGAUAACUACUCGAAAGAGUAGCUAAUACCGCAUGAGAUCUAAGGAUGAAAGCAGGGGACCUUCGGGCCUUGCGCUACUAGAGCGGCUGAUGGCAGAUUAGGUAGUUGGUGGGAUAAAAGCUUACCAAGCCGACGAUCUGUAGCUGGUCUGAGAGGACGACCAGCCACACUGGGACUGAGACACGGCCCAGACUCCUACGGGAGGCAGCAGUGGGGAAUUUUGGACAAUGGGCGAAAGCCUGAUCCAGCAAUGCCGCGUGCAGGAUGAAGGCCCUCGGGUUGUAAACUGCUUUUGUACGGAACGAAAAGACUCUCUCUAAUAAAGAGGGUUGAUGACGGUACCGUAAGAAUAAGCACCGGCUAACUACGUGCCAGCAGCCGCGGUAAUACGUAGGGUGCGAGCGUUAAUCGGAAUUACUGGGCGUAAAGCGUGCGCAGGCGGUUAUGUAAGACAGAGGUGAAAUCCCCGGGCUCAACCUGGGAACGGCCUUUGUGACUGCAUGGCUAGAGUGCGGCAGAGGGGGAUGGAAUUCCGCGU